rnacentral:rRNA from 1 species
AUUGAACGCUGGCGGCAGGCCUAACACAUGCAAGUCGAACGGUAGCACAGAGAGCUUGCUCUCGGGUGACGAGUGGCGGACGGGUGAGUAACGUCUGGGAAACUGCCCGAUGGAGGGGGAUAACUACUGGAAACGGUAGCUAAUACCGCAUAACGUCGCAAGACCAAAGUGGGGGACCUUCGGGCCUCACACCAUCGGAUGUGCCCAGAUGGGAUUAGCUAGUAGGUGGGGUAAUGGCUCACCUAGGCGACGAUCCCUAGCUGGUCUGAGAGGAUGACCGGCCACACUGGAACUGAGACACGGUCCAGACUCCUACGGGAGGCAGCAGUGGGGAAUAUUGCACAAUGGGCGCAAGCCUGAUGCAGCCAUGCCGCGUGUAUGAAGAAGGCCUUCGGGUUGUAAAGUACUUUCAGCGGGGAGGAAGGCGGUGAAGUUAAUAGCUUCACCGAUUGACGUUACCCGCAGAAGAAGCACCGGCUAACUCCGUGCCAGCAGCCGCCGCCG